ensembl:lncRNA
AUAUGACUUCAGAGGGAAGUUGGAGAAGUUCAAUAAACAAUCUAAGAUCCAGUUAGCACAAGCUGUUGACGAGGCACAGGAAGCGGUCAUGUUGGGUCCAGUGCGAUACAUUCGUACAUUGGAGAGGGAUGCCCUGGUGGAGUCAGCCACUAAGUUCUACUUAGAAAGCAGGAUACGGGAUGCUCUUGAGCAAUUCAAAGAGGGUCUGGAGUGUCUAGGUCUCCUGCCUUACAUGAAUAGACACUCAAGCCUCUUCAGAGAGGUUUUCAUCUACGCUGAGAAACCUCUUUUGGCCAGACAUAGCUUCUCUUCAAAGCAGAGCUCUCCCCACCUGGUACCAAUCAAAGAGCAAUAGAGAGAAGAGUCAUGUUUCUG